ensembl:lncRNA
AUGUCAGCCAUGCACUACAGCCCCAUUGAUGAGCAUGAUGAGCUCAUCACGGCCCUCCUCGCAGGGCGGUGGUGGGCAAUAAUGGAGCUGGACGAUCUUUUGCGCUCAUCAUCUAAGAAAGAGUGUGGGGACCUCACUUCAGGCCAGUGGCGGGAAAUAGUGGAGGCCCCGCAAGGAGCGCCUGUUACUCCUCAGUACCAACAGGGAGAGCUUGUGCCUGCCAGGUCCCCUGAGGAAGACCAAGAGGAAGUACCUGUGCCAGGCUUGUUCCCUGAAGCGGCACUAGUGACCACCAUUGGUCAACAGAAAGUCCCAGUGCCUAUCUUGUCCCCUGAGGAAGUGCUGGUGGCAGAUGGGUCCCCGCAAGGAGCCCCUAUGCCUUCCAGGAAGCAACUGAAGGGAAAACUGAAAAUACCCCAAAACAUGAGACUUUCUGUAAGGGAUGCCAUCUUGACACCCUUGCCACUAAGGCCCCCAAAGGGACCACCACCAAAGCCUGCCAAGUAUCCGAAUGGAGCACCAGUCCCUGCCUCAUCCCCUGGAGAAGCACCUGUUCCUACCAGGUCCCCAGAGGAGGCCCCAGUGCCCGCCUCAGCCCAAGUGGAAGUGCCAGUGCCUAAAGAACCACCAGUGGCCUCCUCGCCUCAAGAGGAAGAAUCUGUUUCCACUUCGUCACUCAUGGCAGAUGGGUCCCCACAGGGAGCACCUCUGCCUGCCAGAAACCGAUUUAGGGGAAAAAUGAAAGUCUCCGAAAAUAUGAGACUUUUUCUAAAAAAGGAUGUUAUCUUGACACCUUUGCCCCUAAGGCCCCCAAAGGGGCCAGGACUACCAUCAAGACCUGCUAAGACUCCAAAAGGAGCAGCAGUGCCUGCCUCAUCCACGGGGGAAGUACCUGUGCUCUCCUUGUCCCCAAAGAAAGGGCCUGUGCACACCUCAUCUCAAACGAAAGCACUAAUGCCUGCCUCAUCCCAAGAAGAAGCACCAGUGUCCACUGCAACUGCUGAGGAAGUACUUGUCCCUGCCAGGUCCCCAGAGAAAGCAGCGGUGCCUGCCUCGUCCCAGGAGGGAGCACCUGUGACCACUGCAUCCUUAAACGAUGCACAUAUGCCUGCCAUGUCCCUCAAGAGAUCACCAAGACUCUCUGUGUCUCUACAGGGAGCAACCAAAUCCACUCUGAAGAGACCGUGCCCAUGGAGCACUGGAGAUUUGGAAAGUGCAGAUGUGGUUCAGCCACCUCCGCACAAAAACUGUGUGAGAAAAGACACACACCAGCACAUCCUGAAGAGGCCAUGCCCAUGGAGCUCCGAAAGAUCUGACAGUGAAGAUGUGAUUCAGCUCCUUCUGCCAAAGAAGCAACGUGUGGGAAAAGAGCCUAAAGAUGCUAUAAAAAGAACGAGGGAACAACACCUUGUUUAUAUGCACAAAUAA